rnacentral:rRNA from 1 species
GAUGAACGCUGGCGGCGUGCCUAAUACAUGCAAGUAGAACGCUGAAGGAAGGAGCUUGCUCUUUCCGGAUGAGUUGCGAACGGGUGAGUAACGCGUAGGUAACCUGCCUGGUAGCGGGGGAUAACUAUUGGAAACGAUAGCUAAUACCGCAUAACAGUAGAUGUUGCAUGAUAUCUACUUAAAAGGUGCAAUUGCACCACUACCAGAUGGACCUGCGUUGUAUUAGCUAGUUGGUGAGGUAACGGCUCACCAAGGCGACGAUACAUAGCCGACCUGAGAGGGUGAUCGGCCAACCUGGGACUGAGACACGGCCCAGACUCCUACGGGAGGCAGCAGUAGGGAAUCUUCGGCAAUGGACGGAAGUCUGACCGAGCAACGCCGCGUGAGUGAAGAAGGUUUUCGGAUCGUAAAGCUCUGUUGUAAGAGAAGAACGAGUGUGAGAGUGGAAAGUUCACACUGUGACGGUAUCUUACCAGAAAGGGACGGCUAACUACGUG